rnacentral:rRNA from 1 species
AUUGAACGCCGGCGGCAUGCCUUACACAUGCAAGUCGAACGGUAACGCGGGGCAACCUGGCGACGAGUGGCGAACGGGUGAGUAAUGCAUCGGCACGUGCCCGGUAGUGGGGGAUAACUGCUCGAAAGAGCAGCUAAUACCGCAUACGACCUGAGGGUGAAAGGGGGGGAUCGCAAGACCUCUCGCUAUCGGCGCGGCCGAUGUCGGAUUAGCUAGUUGGUGGGGUAAAAGCCCACCAAGGCGACGAUCCGUAGCUGGUCUGAGAGGACGACCAGCCACACUGGGACUGAGACACGGCCCAGACUCCUACGGGAGGCAGCAGUGGGGAAUUUUGGACAAUGGACGCAAGUCUGAUCCAGCCAUGCCGCGUGCGGGAAGAAGGCCUUCGGGUUGUAAACCGCUUUUGUCAGGGAAGAAAUCUUCUGAGUUAAUACCUCGGGAGGAUGACGGUACCUGAAGAAUAAGCACCGGCUAACUACGUGCCAGCCGCCGCCGUAA